AGUUUGAUCCUGGCUCAGGAUGAACGCUGGCGGUAUGCUUAACACAUGCAAGUCGAACGAUGUGGGGACGUAGCAAUGCUACGUCUGUGCAUAGUGGCGGACGGGUGAGUAACGCGUGAGAAUCUAGCUUCAGGUUCGGGACAACAUUGGGAAACCGAUGCUAAUACCGGGAUGUGCCGAGAGGUGAAAGGCUAGCCGCCUGAAGAAGAGCUCGCGUCUGAUUAGCUAGUUGGUGGUGUAAGGGACUACCAAGGCGACGAUCAGUAGCUGGUCUGAGAGGAUGAUCAGCCACACUGGAACUGAGACACGGUCCAGACUCCUACGGGAGGCAGCAGUGGGGAAUUUUCCGCAAUGGGCGAAAGCUGAACGGAGCAAUACCGCGUGAGGGAGGAAGGCUCUUGGGUUGUAAACUCUUUUCUCAAGGAAGAAGGUCUGACGGUACUUGAGGAAUCAGCAUCGGCUAACUCCGUGCCAGCAGCCGGGGUAAUACGGAGGAUGCAAGCGUUAUCCCGAAUGAUUGGGCGUAAGCGGU
rnacentral:rRNA from 1 species